GGACGAACGCUGGCGGCACGCUUAACACAUGCAAGUCGAACGAGCGAAAGAGUGCUUGCACUCUCUAGCUAGUGGCGGACGGGUGAGUAACACGUGAGCAAUCUGCCUUUCGGUGGGGGAUACCAAUUGGAAACGAUUGUUAAUACCCCAUAACAUAGAUAAGCCGCAUGACCUAUCUAUCAAAGAUUUAUUGCCGGAAGAUGAGCUCGCGUCUGAUUAGGUAGUUGGUGAGGUAACGGCCCACCAAGCCGACGAUCAGUAGCCGGACUGAGAGGUUGAACGGCCACAUUGGGACUGAGACACGGCCCAGACUCCUACGGGAGGCAGCAGUGGGGAAUAUUGCACAAUGGGCGAAAGCCUGAUGCAGCGAUGCCGCGUGAGGGAAGAAGGUUUUAGGAUUGUAAACCUCUGUCUUUGGGGACGAUAAUGACGGUACCCAAGGAGGAAGCUCCGGCUAACUACGUGCCAGCCGCCGC
rnacentral:rRNA from 1 species